UGCAGGAAGGGCAGCCUGCACCACGGAGAGCCCACAUCCACGGGGCAGUGGCCUGGCUAAGUGCCUCUCUCUCCCUGUGCCCAGGUUCUCCUCUCAGAGACAACCCCCACCGCGCACCUCAGCAGCAAGAUGAACCCCACUGUGGGCAUCGCUGUCAUCCUGACAGUCCUCCAGGCUGCCCACUGCCAGAUGAUCAAGGACCUGAGUGCCUGCCUGCUGGGCCAGAACCUGCGCGUGGACUGUCGCUAUGAGAACAAAACCGACAACCCCCUGACCUACGAGUUCAGCAUCACCAAGGACAACAGRAAGCACGUCAUCCACAGCACCAUCAGCGUCUCCGAGAACAUCUACCGGAGCCGAGCCAACGUCACCAUGCACAAGAACCUGGUGUGCCUCUACCUGCAGAGCUUCACCACCAGCGAUGAGGGCAUCUACAUGUGCGAGCUGAAGGCCACCAACGACUACACUGGCAACCAGAUAAAGAACAUCACUGUUAUCAAAGACAAACUGGAGAAAUGCGCCGGCUUCAGCCUCUUGAUCCAGAACACCUCGUGGCUCCUGCUGCUGCUCCUCUCCCUGCCUCUCCUGCAAGCCGUGGACUUCGUGUCCCUGUGACAGGCCAAACACACACACACACACACACACAGAGCUCUUGCACACACGCACGCACACACUGAGCACCCCGGCCACCCCGCCUUCCUCGCAGCCCCUUGGAAAGAAAAGCUGAAGCGUCUGGAAGCCGUGAAACCUCUCUCUGUGUUAUCUCUAUUUAGCCGUAUAUCUAACGCUAAGCACCGCCCCGUGCCGACGCCCACCAUCCCACGCACACACUGCCCCGCUCCGAAGCAUGGGGGCUCUGCUAGGCAGCGUUGCUUCUUCCCAUGGCGCCUCCCCGCUCCGUAGGCUGGCUGGUUUGCUUGUGCUGGGAGCACUGGAGGCCUCAGCCUCGCUUGUCCCAUCCCUUUAACUCUUGGGGUUUGCCUGUUCUCAACUGGGGAAAGACAGCUGGAUUGGCAGCUGAGUUGGAAGUGAGGCCUCCUCCAGACACCAUCUGGUACCUUUGGGCUGCCCGAGCCAGAGACAGCACUCGCUCUCCCCGGGGACCAGCCCUUAGCUGUGACGAGAGAAUUGCUGCCAGCACCAGUGGAGGCAAGCAGAGCCUCUCUGAGCUAGCCACAGCCCCACUGCCCUCCCCAGGGCCCUCAGAGCUGCACCCAGGCUGGCUGGUGGGGAAGGGGUUCCCCUCUGGGAGUGUGACCCCAGGGUCUCUGCUGGGACUCCUCUGCACCGGCACCUUGUUUUCCCUAAAGGAACAUCUGGGGACCCCAGUCCUUCCUCAUGGAGAGGCAGAGCAGUCUUCCUCAAAUCCUGCUGUGCUCCUGGAAGGAGCCCGUGUGCCCCUUCCCUCCCCUCUCCUCCCUCUCAGCAUUUCCCUGUCUCCCUUUAAGAGCAGCAAAGGAUCUAAGGGCAGCCCAGCACCUCGGUAAGGCCAGGAUGGUGCCAGGGGUUGGUGAGAGCAGGGACAGGGAUGGCCAGCACAGCUCAGAUCUGCCAGCCCAGGGGACCCCGAGGAGCCUCACCCGGGGGGGAGGGCACAGGGAAAAGAAGAGGCAAGGCAGGAGCAUCCAGGUGCAUGGGGUGAACCCCAGCUGUGCUACCCGUGCAGCCCGGGCUGUGCCACCACGGCUGAGAGCAAUACACAGCAGCUGCUCCCCACUCCUUGCUCUUCUCCAGAGCUGCUUCCUCUCCUCCCCGUGCCCGUCCCCUGCCCAUCCCUGCCUGCUUGCUUGCUGUCUAGUGCUGCUGAGGCCGUGCCCAGCUGAGGCCUGGCUGUGCCCAGCUCCCUGGGCGUGCUGGUGAGCGCCGGGGYGGGCGCAGAGCCCAGCGGCAGAGCGCGGACGCGGCUCGAGUCUCAUUUUUUGGUGAACAUUUGUAGUUGUUUCCACAGCUUGUCGUCAAAGAAAUUCUGUUAAGGGAAAAGGGAAAAAAAAAAAAAAAAAAACCCAAUUAAAAAAAAAAAAACACGGGGGAAAAUAAAAGAACCCUAUGAAAAGCAACAACAACGACAACAGGGAAAAAAAAAUAACCUUAUCAUCCAGGAGUGUUCCUCUGUCUGCACAAUAAAACCCUACCUAGGUUGUGUGUUGGAGCCGUGGGUGCC
rnacentral:lncRNA from 1 species